AUUGAACGCUGGCGGCAUGCCUUACACAUGCAAGUCGAACGGUAACGGGCCUUCGGGUGCCGACGAGUGGCGAACGGGUGAGUAAUACAUCGGAACGUGCCCGAUCGUGGGGGAUAACGAGGCGAAAGCUUUGCUAAUACCGCAUACGAUCUACGGAUGAAAGCAGGGGACCGCAAGGCCUUGCGCGGACGGAGCGGCCGCUGGCAGAUUAGGUAGUUGGUGGGAUAAAAGCUUACCAAGCCGACGAUCUGUAGCUGGUCUGAGAGGAUGAUCAGCCACACUGGGACUGAGACACGGCCCAGACUCCUACGGGAGGCAGCAGUGGGGAAUUUUGGACAAUGGGCGCAAGCCUGAUCCAGCCAUGCCGCGUGCAGGAUGAAGGCCUUCGGGUUGUAAACUGCUUUUGUACGGAACGAAAAGCCUUCUUUUAAUACAGGAGGGUCAUGACGGUACCGUAAGAAUAAGCACCGGCUAACUACGUG
rnacentral:rRNA from 1 species